AGGACGAACGCUGGCGGCGUGCUUAACACAUGCAAGUCGAGCGGAAAGGCCCUUCGGGGUACUCGAGCGGCGAACGGGUGAGUAACACGUGAGUAAUCUGCCCUUAGCUCUGGGAUAGCUCCGGGAAACCGGGAUUAAUACCAGAUACGACCACUUUAGACAUCUGCCGUGGUGGAAAGAAUUUCGGCUAAGGAUGAGCUCGCGGCCUAUCAGCUUGUUGGUGGGGUAACGGCCUACCAAGGCGACGACGGGUAGCCGGCCUGAGAGGGCGACCGGCCACACUGGGACUGAGACACGGCCCAGACUCCUACGGGAGGCAGCAGUGGGGAAUAUUGCGCAAUGGGCGAAAGCCUGACGCAGCGACGCCGCGUGGGGGAUGAAGGCCUUCGGGUUGUAAACCCUUUCAGCAGGGACGAAGCGAAAGUGACGGUACCUGCAGAAGAAGCGCCGGCUAACUACGCGCCAGCAGCCGC
rnacentral:rRNA from 1 species